UACGGGGGGAGCAAGCGUUGUUCGGAUUUACUGGGCGUAAAGGGCGCGUAGGCGGCCACCGCAAGUCAGUUGUGAAAGCUCUAGGCUUAACCCAGAAAGGUCAGCUGAUACUGCGGGGCUAGAGUGCAGAAGGGGCAACUGGAAUUCUCGGUGUAGCGGUGAAAUGCGUAGAUAUCGAGAGGAACACCUGCGGCGAAGGCGGGUUGCUGGGCUGACACUGACGCUGACAGCGCGAAAGCUAGGGGAGCGAACGGG
rnacentral:rRNA from 1 species